rnacentral:misc_RNA from 1 species
GAUGAAGAACGUAGCGAAAUGCGAUAAGUAGUGUGAAUUGCAGAAUUCAGUGAAUCAUCGAAUCUUUGAAUGCACAUUGCGCCCCUUGGUAUUCCAUGGGGCAUGCCUGUUCGAGCGUCAUUUGUACCUUCAAGCUUUGCUUGGUGUUGGGUGUUUGUCUCGCCUUUGCGUGUAGACUCGCCUUAAAAUAAUUGGCAGCCGGCGUAUUGAUUUCGGAGCGCAGUACAUCUCGCGCUUUGCACUCAUAACGACAGCGUCCAAAAGUACAUUUUACACUCUUGACCUCGGAUCAGGUAGGGAUACCCGCUGAACUUAAGCAUAUCAAUAAGCGGAGGA